GGGCCCAUAGCUCAAUGGUAGAGCAACACCCUUUUAAGGUGAUGGUUGGAGGUUCGAAUCCCCCUGGGCUCACUA
rnacentral:tRNA from 1 species